UACGAAGGGGGCUAGCGUUGUUCGGAAUUACUGGGCGUAAAGCGCGCGCAGGUGGUCUUGCAAGUCAGGGGUGAAAGCCCAGAGCUCAACUCUGGAACUGCCUUUGAGACUGUGAGACUUGGGUACGGGAGAGGUGAGUGGAAUUCCGAGUGUAGAGGUGAAAUUCGUAGAUAUUCGGAAGAACACCAGUGGCGAAGGCGGCUCACUGGCCCGUUACCGACACUCAGGCGCGAUAGCGUGGGGAGCAAACAGG
rnacentral:rRNA from 1 species